CCUACGGAGGCUGCAGUGGGGAAUAUUGGACAAUGGGCGAAAGCCUGAUCCAGCCAUGCCGCGUGUGUGAAGAAGGCCUUCGGGUUGUAAAGCACUUUCAGUGGGGAAGAAAGCCUUGGGGCUAAUACCCUCGAGGAAGGACAUCACCCACAGAAGAAGCACCGGCUAACUCCGUGCCAGCAGCCGCGGUAAUACGGAGGGUGCGAGCGUUAAUCGGAAUUACUGGGCGUAAAGCGCGCGUAGGCGGUCUGAUAAGCCGGUUGUGAAAGCCCCGGGCUCAACCUGGGAACGGCAUCCGGAACUGUCAGGCUAGAGUGCAGGAGAGGAAGGUAGAAUUCCCGGUGUAGCGGUGAAAUGCGUAGAGAUCGGGAGGAAUACCAGUGGCGAAGGCGGCCUUCUGGACUGACACUGACGCUGAGGUGCGAAAGCGUGGGUAGCAAACAGGAUUAGAUACCCAGUAGUC
rnacentral:rRNA from 1 species